GUAGGGGGCAAGCGUUAUCCGGAUUUACUGGUUGUAAAGGGAGCGUAGACGGCAUAGCAAGUCUGACGUGAAAGGCAUGGGCUCAACCCGUGGACUGCUUUGGAAACUGUUAAGCUGGAGUGCAGGAGAGGUAAGUGGAAUUCCUAGUGUAGCGGUGAAAUGCGUAGAUAUUAGGAGGAACACCAGUGGCGAAGGCGGCUUACUGGACUGUAACUGACGUUGAGGCUCGAAAGCGUGGGGAGCAAA
rnacentral:rRNA from 1 species